UACAGAGGUCUCAAGCGUUGUUCGGAUUCAUUGGGCGUAAAGGGGGCGUAGGUGGCGCGUUAAGUCAGGUGUGAAAUUUCGGAGCUUAACUCCGAAACUGCAUUUGAUACUGGCGUGCUUGAGGACUGGAGAGGAGACUGGAAUUCAUGGUGUAGCAGUGAAAUGCGUAGAGAUCAUGAGGAAGACCAGUGGCGAAGGCGGGUCUCUGGACAGUUCCUGACACUGAGGCACGAAGGCCAGGGGAGCAAACGGG
rnacentral:rRNA from 1 species